GAGGGUAUAGCUCAGUGAUAGAGCACGUGCUUACCAUGCGGGAGGUUCUAGGUUCAAGCCCCAGUACCUCCA
rnacentral:tRNA from 1 species